rnacentral:antisense_RNA from 1 species
UGUGGGAGCUGGCUUGCCUGCGAUAGCGCCGGGUCAGCUUGCUCAUCCUCGACUGACUCACCGCCAUCGCAGGCAAGCCAGCUCCCACA